rnacentral:rRNA from 1 species
GAUGAACGCUGGCGGCGUGCCUAAUACAUGCAAGUCGAGCGAACAGACGAGGAGCUUGCUCCUCUGACGUUAGCGGCGGACGGGUGAGUAACACGUGGAUAACCUACCUAUAAGACUGGGAUAACUUCGGGAAACCGGAGCUAAUACCGGAUAAAAUGUUGAACGGCAUGGUUCAACAGUGAAAGACGGUCUUGCUGUCACUUAUAGAUGGAUCCGCGCCGCAUUAGCUAGUUGGUAAGGUAACGGCUUACCAAGGCAACGAUGCGUAGCCGACCUGAGAGGGUGAUCGGCCACACUGGAACUGAGACACGGUCCAGACUCCUACGGGAGGCAGCAGUAGGGAAUCUUCCGCAAUGGGCGAAAGCCUGACGGAGCAACGCCGCGUGAGUGAAGAAGGUCUUCGGAUCGUAAAACUCUGUUAUUAGGGAAGAACAAAUGUGUAAGUAACUAUGCACGUCUUGACGGUACCUAAUCAGAAAGCCACGGCUAACUACGUG